rnacentral:rRNA from 1 species
CAAUAGCGUAUAUUAAAGUUGUUGCGGUUAAAAAGCUCGUAGUUGGAUUUCUGCUGAGAACGACCGGUCCGCCCUUUGGGUGUGUAUCUGGCUCUUUCUUGGCAUCUUCUUGGUGAACGUUGCUGCACUUGACUGUGUGGAGCGCUACCCAGGACUUUUACUUUGAGGAAAUUAGAGUGUUUCAAGCAGGCAUACGCCUUGAAUACAUUAGCAUGGAAUAAUAAGAUAGGACCUCGGUUCUAUUUUGUUGGUUUCUAGAGCUGAGGUAAUGAUUAAUAGGGAUAGUUGGGGGCAUUCGUAUUUAACUGUCAGAGGUGAAAUUCUUGGAUUUAUGAAAGACGGACUACUGCGAAAGCAUUUGCCAAGGAUGUUUUCAUUG